GCGGGCGUUGCAUAAUGGUAAUGCCUUAGCCUUCCAAGCUAAUGAUACGGGUUCGAUUCCCGUCGCCCGCU
rnacentral:tRNA from 1 species